rnacentral:rRNA from 1 species
UACAGAGGGUGCAAGCGUUAAUCGGAAUUACUGGGCGUAAAGCGUGCGUAGUCGGUUAUCUAAGUCGGGUGUGAAAUCCCCGGGCUCAACCUCGGAACUGCCUUCGAUACUGGCGAUCUUCGAGUCCGGGAGAGGUGAGUGGAACUCCGAGUGUAGAGGUGAAAUUCGUAGAUAUUCGGAAGAACACCAGUGGCGAAGGCGGCUCACUGGCCCGGUACUGACGCUGAAAUACGAAAGCGUGGGGAGCAAACAGG